GAGUUUGAUCCUGGCUCAGAUUGAACGCUGGCGGCAGGCCUAACACAUGCAAGUCGAGCGGAUGAGUGGAGCUUGCUCCAUGAUUCAGCGGCGGACGGGUGAGUAAUGCCUAGGAAUCUGCCUGGUAGUGGGGGACAACGUUUCGAAAGGAACGCUAAUACCGCAUACGUCCUACGGGAGAAAGCAGGGGACCUUCGGGCCUUGCGCUAUCAGAUGAGCCUAGGUCGGAUUAGCUAGUUGGUGAGGUAAAGGCUCACCAAGGCGACGAUCCGUAACUGGUCUGAGAGGAUGAUCAGUCACACUGGAACUGAGACACGGUCCAGACUCCUACGGGAGGCAGCAGUGGGGAAUAUUGGACAAUGGGCGAAAGCCUGAUCCAGCCAUGCCGCGUGUGUGAAGAAGGUCUUCGGAUUGUAAAGCACUUUAAGUUGGGAGGAAGGGCAGUAAGUUAAUACCUUGCUGUUUUGACGUUACCGGCAGAAUAAGCACCGGCUAACUUCGUGCCAGCAGCCGCGGUAAUACGAAGGGUGCAAGCGUUAAUCGGAAUUACUGGGCGUAAAGCGCGCGUAGGUGGUUCGUUAAGUUGGAUGUGAAAGCCCCGGGCUCAACCUGGGAACUGCAUCCAAAACUGGCGAGCUAGAGUAUGGCAGAGGGUGGUGGAAUUUCCUGUGUAGCGGUGAAAUGCGUAGAUAUAGGAAGGAACACCAGUGGCGAAGGCGACCACCUGGGCUAAUACUGACACUGAGGUGCGAAAGCGUGGGGAGCAA
rnacentral:rRNA from 2 species